rnacentral:tRNA from 1 species
GGGGAUGUAGCUCAGUUGGAAGAGCACCUGCUUUGCAAGCAGGGGGUCGUCGGUUCAAGUCCGAUCAUCUCCA